rnacentral:rRNA from 1 species
UACGAAGGGGGCUAGCGUUGCUCGGAAUUACUGGGCGUAAAGGGUGCGUAGGCGGGUCUUUUAGUCAGAGGUGAAAUCCUGGAGCUCAACUCCAGAACUGCCUUUGAUACUGAGGAUCUUGAGUUCGGGAGAGGUGAGUGGAACUGCGAGUGUAGAGGUGAAAUUCGUAGAUAUUCGCAAGAACACCAGUGGCGAAGGCGGCUCACUGGCCCGAUACUGACGCUGAGGCACGAAAGCGUGGGGAGCAAACAGG